GAUGAACGCUGGCGGCGUGCCUAAUACAUGCAAGUCGAGCGAACAGAUGAGGAGCUUGCUCCUCUGACGUUAGCGGCGGACGGGUGAGUAACACAUGGAUAACCUACCUAUAAGACUGGGAUAACUUCGGGAAACCGGAGCUAAUACCGGAUAAUAUAUUGAACCGCAUGGUUCAAUAGUGAAAGACGGUUUUGCUGUCACUUAUAGAUGGAUCCGCGCCGCAUUAGCUAGUUGGUAAGGUAACGGCUUACCAAGGCAACGAUGCGUAGCCGACCUGAGAGGGUGAUCGGCCACACUGGAACUGAGACACGGUCCAGACUCCUACGGGAGGCAGCAGUAGGGAAUCUUCCGCAAAGGGCGAAAGCCUGACGGAGCAACGCCGCGUGAGUGAUGAAGGUCUUCGGAUCGUAAAACUCUGUUAUUAGGGAAGAACAAAUGUGUAAGUAACUAUGCACGUCUUGACGGUACCUAAUCAGAAAGCCACGGCUAACUACGUG
rnacentral:rRNA from 1 species